UACGGAGGGUGCAAGCGUUAUCCGGAUUCACUGGGUUUAAAGGGUGCGUAGGCGGGCAGGGAAGUCAGUGGUGAAAUCUCCGGGCUUAACUCGGAAACUGCCGUUGAUACUCUCUGUCUUGAAUCCCGUGGAGGUGAGCGGAAUAUGUCAUGUAGCGGUGAAAUGCUUAGAUAUGACAUAGAACACCAAUUGCGAAGGCAGCUCACUACACGAAGAUUGACUCUGAGGCACGAAAGCGUGGGGAUCAAACAGG
rnacentral:rRNA from 1 species